UACGGGGGGGGGCAAGCGUUGUUCGGAAUUACUGGGCGUAAAGGGCGCGUAGGCGGCCUUCUAAGUCAGACGUGAAAUCCCUCGGCUCAACCGAGGAACUGCGUCUGAUACUGGAAGGCUUGAAUCCGGGAGAGGGAUGUGGAAUUCCAGGUGUAGCGGUGAAAUGCGUAGAUAUCUGGAGGAACACCGGUGGCGAAGGCGGCAUCCUGGACCGGUAUUGACGCUGAGGCGCGAAAGCUAGGGGAGCAAACGGGG
rnacentral:rRNA from 1 species